UUAUAUAAAUAUUAUUUUAUUUUGGUUAAUAUUUUUAUUAUUAUUUUAUUUUACAUGUAAAUUUUUGUAUGAAUUAGUUUAAUUUUUAAAAAAUUAAAUUUAAAAAUUUAUUCGCAGUAAUUGAUAUUAAUUAAAAAAGAAAUUUUGUAUUAGUAAUAAUAUAUAGUAUUGGUAAAAUUUGUGCCAGCUACCGCGGUUAUACAAAUAAUACAAAUAAAAAUUUUUAGUAUUAGUUAAAUUAUAAAAUUUAUAAUAUAAAUUUAAAUUUAUUAGGUGAAAUUUUUAAAUUUAUUUAUUUAUUAUUUAAUAAGAAUAAUUUAAGCUAUAAACUUUUUAUAAUAAACUAGGAUUAGAUACCCUAUUAUUAAAAAUAAAUAUUUAAAUGCUAAAGUAGUAUUAGUUAUAUUCUUAAAAUUUAAAAAAUUUGGCGGUGUUUUAGUCUAUUUAGAGGAAUCUGUUCUGUAAUUGAUAAUUCACAUUGAACCUUACUUAAAUUUGUUUAAUUUGUAUAUCGCCGUCAUCAGAAUAUGUUAUAAGAUAAAAAUUUUCUAAAAAUUUUAUUUGAUAAAAUGUCAGGUCAAGGUGCAGUUUAUGUUUAAGUAGAAAUGGAUUACAAUAAUUUUAUUUAAAUGGAUAAUUUUUUGAAAUAGAGAUUUGAAGGUGGAUUUAAUAGUAAUAUAAAAAAGAUUAUUUAUAUGAUUUUAGCUCUAAAACAUGUACAUAUCGCCCAUCGUUCUUAUUUUUAAAAUAAGAUAAGUUGUAACAUAGUAGAUGUACUGGAAAGUGUAUCUAGAAAGA
rnacentral:ncRNA from 1 species